rnacentral:sRNA from 1 species
AAGGUCAACCUUACACUAAGGUGAUUUAAUUCUUGACGCAAAGGUCAACAUUACACUAAGGUGAUUUAAUUCUUGACACCAAGGUCAACCUUACACUAAGGUGAUUUAAUUCUUGGCACCAAGGCCGACCCCACACUAAGACAAUUUAAUUUCUGACACAAAGGUCAAUCUCACACUAAGGCGAUUUAACUCCUGGCACACAUGCCAACCCCACAUUAAGGCUAAUAAUAACAUAGGCAUAUUUGCGCGGUCUUUGAGUUGGAUGCAAAAGACAAUCAUAUAAUUUCUCUAAGCACAUAGGCUUUAUUAUGUUUUUUUAUUUUUCAUCAUCAAAUGGUCAUUUAGUGCAAAGAUUAUAGAAGCACACAACUUAUAAAAAUAAGAAAAAGCGUGG